AUCCUUUUGUAGUUCAUGAGCCUGAAAAUCGGGUGUUUACGCACAUGUGUGAGACGUGCCACCCUUGAAUUUUGUUAUGACAUCACCACGUUAGCCCAUCUGACA